ensembl:lncRNA
GUGGCUCACUGCAAAGUGCAGUAAUCCCAGCACUGUGGGAGGCCGAGGCAUGCAGAUCAUUUGAGUCCAGGAGUUCAGGACCAGCCUAGCCAACAUGGUGAAACCCCAUCUUUACAAAAAAUACAAGAUUAGCUGGGUGUGGUGGCACAUGACUGUAGUCCCAGCUACUUGGGAGAUUGAGGUGAGAGAAUCGCAUGAGCCUGGGAAGCAGAGGCUGCAGUGAACCAAGACUGCGCCACUGCACUCCAUCUUGGGCAACAAAGCCCUGUCUCAAAAUAAUAAUGAAAAUAAUAAAACAAAAAGCCAAUGACUAAAGGGAGGCAUUAAUUCAGAAGUGGCAAUUGAGUCCUCUGUCUCUAGCCAUGGAUCAGAAUGCGGAAAGCAGACAACUGCUUCUGAAAGUUUCUGUGAGUUCUAAGUUCUCAUCUCUGAUAUCAAGAUUGUGCUAAGCUAUAACUUAAUUCUCAUAAUUUAGUAUUUUAUGUAUUUAUAUAUAGAUUUCCAGGGUGGCUUGGCUGGAGACGACAGUUGAAAAACACAGCACUAAAUUCUCUGAGAAGCCAUCAUCUCUGUUUUGAGUGACAAUAUCCUAAGACUUGGAUACUGAUGAAAAGAGGCCUUGGCCGGGUGCGGUGGCUCACACCUCUAAUCUCAGCACUUUGGGAGGCCGAGGCAGGCAGAUCACCUGAGGUCGGGAGUUCGAGACCAGCCUGAGCAACAUAGAGAAAACCCCGUCUGUACUAAAAAUACAAAAUUAGCCAUGCAUGGUGGUGCAUGCCUGUAAAUCCAGCUACUUGGGAGGCUGAGGCAGGAGAAUUGUUUGAACCUGGGAGGUGGAGGUUUCAGUGAGCUGAGAUUGCACUAUUGCACUCCAGCCUGGGCAAGAAGAGCAAAACUCCAUCUCAAAAAAAAAAAAAAAAGAAGAAGAAGAAAAGAAAAAGAAAAAAGAAAGAAGGGAAGGGGAGGGGAGGGGGCCUUGGCCAGACAUGGUGGCUCACACCUGUAAUCCUAGCACUUUGGGAGACUGAGGCAGAUGGAUAGCUUGAGUCCAGGAGUUUGAGACCAGCCUGCCUGGGCAACAUGGUGAAAACUUGUCUCUACAAAAAAUACAAAAAUUAGCCGUGUAUGGUGGCGCAUGCCUGUAUGCCCAGCUACUAGAGAGGCUGAGGUGGGAGAAUCACUUGAGCCUAGGAAGUUAAGGCUGCAGUGAGCUGUAAACAUGCCACUGCACUCCAGCCUGGGCAACAGAGCAAGACCCUGUCUCAAAAAAAGAAAAGAGAAAAGGUCUCAAAACAAGGAAGUGUCACCUUGACUUUAAACAUAACCUCAGAACCACCUAGAGUCAGAAACUCUUCUGUAUUCAUCUUCCAUCCCAAACCACAAGAUCCUUUCUCAAUCCGUCACCGUUAGUAAUGAAUGCCGAGGUAUCUUCCUUUAGAGAUGAACUUUAGCAUGAAUUCCUCUUCCUGCUUAAACAAGCUGAUACACUUGGCCACUCUGGUAGAACUUGGUAACAAUGCCAAUAAAAGGAGUAUUUGUGAUUUUUUAGUCAAGCCACAAAGGAUGACACCAGAAAUUGCUUUGACUCAUUAUCACAAUUUGCAGAUAUAAGAUUGCAUUCAGGAAGGCUUGAGAAGUUGUAUAUAGGGAGUGUCCAAGUACUCAGAGACGAAAUGAAUGCCCCAGGAAACAGUAAGUUUCCUUCAUCGUCAGUGGGAUAUUCCCACUGAUAAUCCCAUGAUUAUUAUCCCAUGAUUCCCAUGAUAAUUCCAUCAUCAGUGGGAUAUUCAAGCUAGACUGCCCCUUGGCACAUAUCAUGGAGAUAACAUGUGGCAAGAAAUGAGGAUGAACUAGAUCAGAUAUCCAGUUUCUUCUCCUCUAAGGUCUGUGAAUUAAAAUAAAUAAUGCUAAUGAUCUUAGUGUGUGUAACAACUUAAGGUGGGUUUCUGGACUCAAGGAUCAGAAAACCACAGACCUGACCAGGAUCCUGGGAGUUGAGAGAUAACAUAAAUUUUAAUGCCCUGCUAUAGUGACCAGAGUGAGUGUGUGUGUCUGUGGCUUUUGUUUGCUUGUUUGAGGUCUUGCUCUGUCACCUUGGCUAGAGUGCAGUGGUGCAAUCUUGGCUCACUGCAUCCUCAACUUCCUGAGCUCAAGUGAUCCUCCCACCUCAGCCUCAUAAAGUGAUGGUACUACAGGCAUAAGCCACCAUUCCUGCCAGAGUGUUUUAUUUUGUUUAGAGAAAGGGUCUUGCUCUGUCACCCAGGCUGGAGUGCCCAGUAGUGUGAUCAUGGUUUACUGCAGCCUCGACCUCCCGAGCUCAGGUGAUCCUCCUACCUCAGACUCCUAAGUAGCUGGGACUACAGGCACACACCACCAUGCCUGCCUAAUUUUUGUAUUUUUUGUAUAAAUAGGGUUUGUUACUAUGUUACUCAGGCUGGUCUUCAACUGAACUCCUAGGUUCAAGGGAUCUGCUCACCUCGGCCUCCCAAAAACUUGAGAUUAUAGGCGUGAGCUACUACACUUGGCCUCAGAAUAUAUUUUUAAGAUAUACAAUGAUUAUGCUCUAGUCACGAUUGCGCAGAGCUAAAGUUUUGAAGGUAAAAUGAUACUUAAUUGAAACAAUAAGAUACUCAUGCAUCAAAA